rnacentral:rRNA from 1 species
UACGGAGGGGGUUAGCGUUGUUCGGAAUGACUGGGCGUAAAGCGCGCGUAGGCGGGCUGGAAAGUUGGGGUGAAAUCCCGGGGCUCAACCCCGGAAUGGCCUUCAAAACUCCCAGCCUAGAGUUCGAGAGAGGUGAGUGGAAUUCCGAGUGUAGAGGUGAAAUUCGUAGAUAUUCGGAGGAACACCAGUGGCGAAGGCGGCUCACUGGCUCGACACUGACGCUGAGGUGCGAAAGCGUGGGGAGCAAACAGG